UACGGAGGGGGCAAGCGUUAUUCGGAAUUAUCGGGCGUAAAGGGCGCGUAGGCGGCUAGAUGUGUCAAAGGUGAAAUCCCUCGGCUCAACUGAGGAACUGCCUUUGAAACUGUCUGGCUUGAGGCCGGGAGAGGGUAGCGGAAUUCCCAGUGUAGCGGUGAAAUGCGUAGAUAUUGGGAGGAACACCAGUGGCGAAGGCGGCUACCUGGACCGGUUCUGACGCUGAGGCGCGAAAGCGUGGGGAGCAAACAGG
rnacentral:rRNA from 1 species